rnacentral:misc_RNA from 1 species
AGUCCCUUUGUUCAAAGGAAAAAUAUGGCGGAGGUGAAACCAAAUCCACUUACAACAAGAGACUUUAGUAGAGUAAUUCUCACUUUGGAAAAUGUUCUUAUUCCUGAUGAUAAACUUUCUCCAACCCCAUCAAUGCAAGAUGGAUUGGAUUUGGAUACCGAAACAGAUCUAAGAAUUCUAGGUUGUGAGCUCAUUCAGUCAGCAGGGAUUCUGUUAAAACUACCUCAAGUUGCAAUGGCUACUGGACAGAUUCUCUACCAGCGUUUCUACUACUCAAAAUCUUUAGUGAAACACAAUUAUGAGGUUGUAGCUAUGGGUUGCAUAAACUUAGCUUCAAAAAUCGAAGAAUGUCCAAAGAGAAUGCGAGAUGUCAUAAAUGUUUUCCAUCAUAUCAAACAAGUUAGAAGUCAAAAUUUCUGGAGUGAGCUCUGAGCAUUAAACCAUUGGGGGAUUUUGGUGACCAAUGACCCCUAACAUGGUUUCUCUACUUGUGGCCAGCAACUUUAUCACUGAAAUUUCAGUGGUGAAUGAACAAUUCAUCCCCUGAUAUUAGACCAGAAUUACAUCACCACGAAAAACCAAGUGAUCAAAGCUGAGCGUCGUAUACUGAAGGAGCUUGGAUUCUGUGUCCAUGUUCAACACCCCCACAAGGUCAUUGUGAUGUACUUGCAAGUACUUGAAGCUGAGAAAAAUCAGAGACUUGUGCAGUGUGCUUGAAUUAGGUGGGUAGAGAUGUCUGUCAUUGCAACGUCUGCCUAGCUGCCAGAAAUGCUCCACAAUGUUAGAGAGCCCUCGUCUUCUACACCUUGGCCUGACUCACUCACAGGUGACACAUGGACAGAAAACAGACUCAAGUCACCCCAGAUCGGAAGACACAGCGGCCAGAAAGUAACUGAAGUAUUCCAUCUUGGGAUGGAAACACUCAGUUGUGUUGUUGAUAUAAUGUGGAAGAGUUUAACACAUGAACAUUUUAUCUUUCUGCUUUAAAUGUUUUUUUUUUUGUCUUUGCUGAAAUGAGAACAAGAGAGAAAAAAGCAAAUGCUUUAAUGUCUGUUCACAAAAGAAAAAACAACUUUAGUAUGUAAAGUGGAUGUUGAUUUGUAGUAUGAUAAACUGUCUCACAAACCUUUUAGAAGAGAGAACAUUUUUAGGAGUCAUCCAUUUGAAUAUGAGUGUGUCUUUGACAAGAAACUUUUUGCAGCUGUGAUAAAGUGUUUCAUCGACAACUGGACCUGUGUGAAAAAAGAGAAAUUUCCUGAAGAAUGUGACUUUUUGGAAGACUUUGGGAGUUUUGGCAUGGCAAGCAAGCAGAUGGUGGUUAUCUGUCUAGAUAAUAUUCAUUUCUCUUUAUUUUUAACCCAUUAUUAAUUGCACAGGAAUCUUUAUCCAUGUGGAAAGAAAUUUUCUCUGCAGCAAAAAGGAAAAUGGUUGGUAUUUUUAAUGGUUUUCUCUGAAACACAAACAAGGAGAUGAUUUUCAGGUUUAAAAUGUUUUGAGUGAACAUGACCUGAGAAAAAAAGUGUAUUGAAUGAACAUGAAAUAGUGUUUGAAUGAAAAAAAAAAGUACACAAUAAGAUUAACUUUAAUUUUGUACUUGUUGUAGAAGAGGACUGUAAAAUCAAAAUGUUCAUGUGUCAAUUUACUUUCAAUUUUUUUGUCUUUAUUUGUAGGAACUACAUGAAUGACAGUUUUAGAACAGAAGUGUUUGUGAGAUUCCAGCCAGAGACCAUUGCCUGUGCAUGUAUAUACUUAGCAGCUAGACAGCUACAGAUUCCAUUGCCAAAUAGUCCUUCAUGGUUCUCCAUCUUCAAUGUGGAUGAAAGCCACAUACAGGAAAUCUGUCUCACUAUCCUAAAGCUUUAUGCCAGGCCAAAACCAAAUCAUGAAAAGUUGGAGGCCAAAGUAAAUGAGUUAAAGAAAGCCCAGAUGGAAGCCAAAAAUCGGGCCAAGGGUCUCUCGUCCGACCAUGGUACACCUCGAGAUUCAUCGAGACAAUCUUCUCCAAAAAACGUGAGCCCCAACCCAGCCUUAUUACCCGCUCUGAAGCGGAUCAAAGCAGAGGAUGACAAACACUCUGAGAACGGUUCUAUAAGAAACAAUGUGAAAGCAUCAAGAUCCAGAAGUAGAGGAAGAUCCUCUUCCAGUAGGAGUAACAGUAGAAGUCCUAAAAGACACAAAAGGCGCAGCCGAUCAAGAUCUCCCCCUCCAAAGAAGCAUAAAAAGGACAAAUAUAUCAGUUCUAGCAAUGACAGGGAACAUCGCUACGUGACAUCAAAAGAACACAAACAUUCCCACAAGCGAAAGAAAGUGUCUCGUUCCAGGAGUAUCAGUCGGUCGCUGAGCAGGUCUCCCGACCGCUACAAGUCGGCCAGCCGGAAAAAGUACUACAAAGACAGGGACCACUACUAUUCCCCAGAAAGACAUUCCACAAAACGCAGGAGAAACGGCCACUCUAGUCCGGGGAGGGAGCGCUACGAUAAAUACAGGCGAUAACAAGGGUAGAAAUAGGAGGGGCAAUUGGGCAUUGUAAAUCACCGCAAUAUUGAUUCUCCUUAUCGUUUUUAUUUUAUCAUGAAGUGCAUCAAUUU